GAUGAAUGCUGGCGGCGUGCCUAAUACAUGCAAGUCGAGCGGAAACACUUCGGGUGUCGAGCGGCGGACGGCUGAGUAACACGUGGGAACAUACCCAAAAGUGAGGGAUAAGUCGGAGAAAUCCGGUCUAAUACCGCAUAUGAUCUUCGGAUUAAAGCAGCAAUGCGCUUUUGGAAUGGCCUGCGUCUGAUUAGAUUGUUGGUGAGGUAAAGGCUCACCAAGUCGACGAUCAGUAACUGGUUCGAGAGGACGACCAGUCAGACUGGAACUGAGAUACGGUCCAGACUCCUACGGGAGGCAGCAGUCGGGAAUCUUUCACAAUGGGCGCAAGCCUGAUGGAGCAACGCCGCGUGCAGGAUGAAGGCCUUCGGGUCGUAAACUGCUUUUAUAAGCGAGAAAUAUGAUGGUAACUUAUGAAUAAGGAUCGGCUAACUACGUGCCAGCAGCCGCGGUCAUACGUAGGAUCCGAGCAUUAUCCGGAGUGACUGGGCGUAAAGAGUUGCGUAGGUGGUUUUGUAAGCGAGUAGUGAAAUUGAACGGCUCAACCGUUGAACUAUUAUUCGAACUGCGAAACUCGAGAGCAGCAGAGGUAACUGGAAUUUCUAGUGUAGGGAUAAAAUCCGUUGAUAUUAGAAGGAACACCAACGGCGUAGGCAGGUUACUGGGCUGUUUCUGACACUAAGGCACGAAAGCGUAGGGAGCAAACGGGAUUAGAUACCCCGGUAGUCUACGCUGUAAACGAUGAAUACUAGCAGUUUUGGGUAUCGACCCCCGAAGUUGCGAAGCUAACGCGUUAAGUAUUCCGCCUGUGUAGUACGAUCGCAAGAUUAAAACAUAAAGGAAUUGACGGGGACCCGCACAAGCGGUGGAUCAUGUUCUUUAAUUCGAUGGUAAACGAUAAACCUUACCAGGGCUUGACAUCUGUGGAAUCUUUCUGAAAGGAAAGAGUGCUUUUUAAGAACCACAAGACAGAUGAUGCAUGGCCGUCUUCAGCUCGUGUCGUGAGAUGUUUGGUUAAGUCCAUCAACGAGCGCAGCCCUUGUCGCCAGUUGUAUUUUUCUGGCGAAACUGCCCCGGUAACGGGGAGGAAGGAGGGGACGAUGUCAGGUCAGUAUUUCUCUUACGUCCUGGGCUAGAAACGUGAUACAAUGGCCGGUACAAUGCGAAGCAAAGCCGCGAGGUGAAGCAAAUCGCAUCAAAGCCGGUCCCAGUUCGGAUUGGAGGCUGAAACUCGCCUCCAUGAAGUCGGAAUCGCUAGUAAUCGCAGAUCAGCAUGCUGCGGUGAAUACGUUCCCGGGU
rnacentral:rRNA from 1 species